rnacentral:lncRNA from 1 species
AGAGGUGGAUAUGGAGUGAUACAAAAGCUGAUUAGGGAAAUCAAAUUACAUGAAACCUAUCUUUCUAUGAUAAGGAAGAAGAUUUCAGAAGAAAAAAAAUUAGUUCUACUUUUACAUCAGUAUAUAUAUAUAAUGAAAUUUAACAAUCUUCAUUUAUCCAAGAAUAAUUACUCAAUGUUUAAUCAUAUCAAAUGUUGAAAUUUAAAACACACCAUGAGCAUAAUGUAAUUGUUGCGAGUUAAUCACUUAAUUGUGCAUACGUUAUAGUGAUCAUAAAAGAAGAGACACUUUGAAAAUGUGUAUUGAAAUUUAAAAAAAAAAAUCAUUGAACAACCAAUUCAGUAGUUAAUAAUUUCUUCUAUUAUACAUUUUCUAAUGAUAAUACAGUUAUGUGAGUUGCAAAUACAUUUAUGUAUACAAGAUUGACAAAUAAAAAUUUAUACUAAUGAAAUAGACCUUUUGAGGUUCCAUGGGAUGUCCACAUAAUCAAAAAAAAAUCUCCCGAAAAAUACCACGUGGCAUUAUUGCUAAAAAAUAAAAAGUAAAUAUACAAUACAAAGAAAAAUAAAUAAUAAGUAAUAUAUAAUAUAAAAAUAGAAAUAUUACAUUGAACAUUUAUUAUAAUAUUAGAAGAAGUAAAUAUAAAAUAUAAGAAAAAUAAAUAAGAAGUAAAUAUAUAAUAUAAGAAAUAGAAAACUACAUUAAAAAUCUAUCUGAAAAAUAUAUAAUAAAAAAUAAUAAGUAAAUAUAUUGUAUAAGAAAUAGAGAUAUUACAUUAAACAUCUAUCGUAAUAUUAGAAUUUGAUAUAAAAGCAAAACAAUUAGAAUAGGUAAAUAUACAAUAUGAUAAAAAAAUGUAAAUAUGCAAUAUUUGAACACAUAAAUAUUUAAUAUAAAAAUAAAUAAUAAAUAAAUAUACAAUUAAGAAAUGGAAAUAAAUAAAUUAACUAUCUAUCUGAAAAAUCUAAAGUAGAAUAAAUAAUAAGUAAAUAUAUAAUAUAAGAAAUAAAAAUAUUAUAUUAUACAUCUAUUGUAAUAUUAGACUAAGUAUAUAUACAAUACAAAAAAAAAACAAUAAGUAAAUAUAUAGUAUAAUAAAUAUAAAUAUUACAUUAAACAUCUAAUUUAAUAUUAUCAUUUGAUAUAAAAGCAAAAAAUUGGAAUAAUUAAAUAUAAAAUAUAUAAAAAUAAACAAUAAGUAAAUAUAAAAUAUCAAAAAUAGAAAAACUAAAUUAAACAUCUAUGUGAAAAAUGUAUAAUAAAAUAAAUAAUAAGUAAAAAUACACAUAAAAAGCAAAAAAAACAUAUUACAUUAAACAUCUAUUAUAAUAUUAGAAUAAGUAAAUAUAAAGUAUAAGAAAAAUAAAUAACAAGUAAAUAUAUAAUAUAAGAACUAGAAAACUACAUUAAACAUCUAUCUGAAAAAUAUAUAAUAAAAUAAAUAAUAAGUAAAUAUAUUGUAUAAGAAACAGAAAUAUUAUAUUAAACAUCUAUCGUAAUAUUAGAAUUCGAUAUAAAAUCAAAACAAUUAUAAUAAGUAAAUAUAAAAUAUAAGAACAAAUAAAUAAUAAGUAAAUAUACAACCUUUGCAAAGUUUACUGUAGAGCAGAUCUGUCCAAAUUUUUUCUGAUCCCUCAUAUGGUCUUCUUGAAACAGCUUUUAUUUCUUAUACCAGUCUCCAGUAAGCAAAAAUAAUUUCUAAAAUAUUAAGGGUAAAUCUUAAAAAGUUGUAACAGUUUUCUAAAAACCAAAAUAUAUAAUAUUUCAAAGGGUAAAUCUUAAAAAAAUCUAAUUAUUUUUGUUCUUAUUUAUUUCUCUUAUAUACUAAAGUACAAGUCACUUGACCGACCAAAUUUGACAUGUGUAAUUUCCUUACAAAGCCUUAAAAAAAAGUAAUAUGUUUUCACAAAGUUCAAAUUUAACAUACUACCAAAAAAAAAUCAAAACUAUCUCAAGUUCCUUUAAUUUUAUGUAAUAGAAGAUGUUAUCUGUCAAGCGAAGGUAACAGCGGACGAUGUGCUUUAGAAGCCUAGGAGAAGGUGCUUCUGCAAGUGAAGUCACCAUAUUCCCCAAAACUCGACUCAGAGCAAAGAAUCUAUCCACACAGACGCACAUGUAACGAAGCCCUUCGUUGUCCAGCAAAAUUUUCUGGAUAAUGAAGGUUGCAACCUGACAUUAAAAAAAAAAAAAAACAAAUCAAUCUAAUGGGCUGUUGCAUUGCCGAAAUCAAUCAUAAGAAGCAUCUGAAAGUAGAGAAAACUCACAGUUUUUGAUAACUCGCUGCCACUUUCCAUUGUCUGGAGGCACAAUGGGAUGAUUUCAGUUUCAAGAAGGAACUUGAUCACUUCCGUAUCCUCAACCUACCAAAACAAAUGAACAAUGUUGCUAACACCAAUAUAAAAAUAACAAUGAUUCUGUGAUGUCUUAACAGUUUUCACUCAAAGGUUUUAGCAUGUUAAAAUGGUUGAUUAAUUCUCAGAUUAUAUACUUGCCAGGGGAAAAUGGUUUUAAUAGCUAGACAUACCUUGACAAGUGCACCAAAUAUUAUAAGAAUGAUGAAACUUGAUCCUCAUGAACAAAAAACAUUUGUUAGCAUCAUCGAUACUCAAAGAAGGUGCUGCAUGGAUCGAUGAUAAUAUCAGAGGUGGAUAUGGAGUGAUACAAAAGCUGAUUAGGGAAAUCAAAUUACAUGAAACCUAUCUUUCUAUGAUAAGGAAGAAGAUUUCAGAAGAAAAAAAAUUAGUUCUACUUUUACAUCAGUAUAUAUAUAUAAUGAAAUUUAACAAUCUUCAUUUAUCCAAGAAUAAUUACUCAAUGUUUAAUCAUAUCAAAUGUUGAAAUUUAAAACACACCAUGAGCAUAAUGUAAUUGUUGCGAGUUAAUCACUUAAUUGUGCAUGCAUUAUAGUGAUCAUAAAAGAAGAGACACUUUGAAAAUGUGUAUUGAAAUUUAAAAAAAAAUCAUUGAACAACCAAUUCAGUAGUUAAUAAUUUCUUCUAUUAUAUAUUUUCUAAUGAUAAUAUAGUUAUGUGAGUUGGAAAUACAUUUAUGUAUACAAGAUUGACAAAUAAAAAUUUAUACUAAUGAAAUAGACAUUUUGAGGUUCCAUGGGAUGUCCACAUAAUCAAAGUAAAAUCUCCCAAAAAAUACCACGUGGCAUUAUUGCUAAAAAAUAAAAAGUAAAUAUACAAUACAAAGAAAUAUAAAUAAUAAGUAAUAUAUAAUAUAAAAAUAGAAAUAUUACAUUGAACAUUUAUUAUAAUAUUAGAAGAAGUAAAUAUAAAAUAUAAGAAAAAUAAAUAAGAAGUAAAUAUAUAAUAUAAGAAAUAGAAAACUACAUUAAAAAUCUAUCUGAAAAAUAUAUAAUAAAAAAAUAAUAAGUAAAUAUAUUGUAUAAGAAAUAGAGAUAUUACAUUAAACAUCUAUCGUAAUAUUAGAAUUUGAUAUAAAAGCAAAACAAUUAGAAUAGGUAAAUAUACAAUAUGAUAAAAAAAAUGUAAAUAUGCAAUAUUUGAACACAUAAAUAUUUAAUAUAAAAAUAAAUAAUAAAUAAAUAUACAAUUAAGAAAUGGAAAUAAAUAAAUUAACUAUCUAUCUGAAAAAUCUAAAGUAGAAUAAAUAAUAAGUAAAUAUAUAAUAUAAGAAAUAAAAAUAUUAUAUUAUACAUCUAUUGUAAUAUUAGACUAAGUAUAUAUACAAUACAAAAAAAAAACAAUAAGUAAAUAUAUAGUAUAAUAAAUAUAAAUAUUACAUUAAACAUCUAAUUUAAUAUUAUCAUUUGAUAUAAAAGCAAAAAAUUGGAAUAAUUAAAUAUAAAUAUAUAAAAAUAAACAAUAAGUAAAUAUAAAAUAUCAAAAAUAGAAAAACUAAAUUAAACAUCUAUGUGAAAAAUGUAUAAUAAAAUAAAUAAUAAGUAAAAAUACACAUAAAAGCAAAAAAACAUAUUACAUUAAACAUCUAUUAUAAUAUUAGAAUAAGUAAAUAUAAAGUAUAAGAAAAAUAAAUAACAAGUAAAUAUAUAAUAUAAGAACUAGAAAACUACAUUAAACAUCUAUCUGAAAAAUAUAUAAUAAAAUAAAUAAUAAGUAAAUAUAUUGUAUAAGAAACAGAAAUAUUAUAUUAAACAUCUAUCGUAAUAUUAGAAUUCGAUAUAAAAUCAAAACAAUUAUAAUAAGUAAAUAUAAAAUAUAAGAACAAAUAAAUAAUAAGUAAAUAUACAACCUUUGCAAAGUUUACUGUAGAGCAGAUCUGUCCAAAUUUUUUCUGAUCCCUCAUAUGGUCUUCUUGAAUCAGCUUUUAUUUCUUAUACCAGUCUCCAGUAAGCAAAAAUAAUUUCUAAAAUAUUAAGGGUAAAUCUUAAAAAGUUGUAACAGUUUUCUAAAAACCAAAAUAUAUAAUAUUUCAAAGGGUAAAUCUUAAAAAAUCUAAUUAUUUUUGUUCUUAUUUAUUUCUCUUAUAUACUAAAGUACAAGUCACUUGACCGACCAAAUUUGACAUGUGUAAUUUCCUUACAAAGCCCUAAAAAAAGUAAUCUGUUUUCACAAAGUUCAAAUUUAACAUACUACCAAAAAAAAUCAAAACUAUCUCAAGUUCCUUUAAUUUUAUGUAAUAGAAGAUGUUAUCUGUCAAGCGAAGGUAACAGCGGACGAUGUGCUUUAGAAGCCUAGGAGAAGGUGCUUCUGCAAGUGAAGUCACCAUAUUCCCCAAAACUCGACUCAGAGCAAAGAAUCUAUCCACACAGACGCACAUGUAACGAAGCCCUUCGUUGUCCAGCAAAAUUUUCUGGAUAAUGAAGGUUGCAACCUGACAUUAAAAAAAAAACAAAAACAAAUCAAUCUAAUGGGCUGUUGCAUUGCCGAAAUCAAUCAUAAGAAGCAUCUGAAAGUAGAGAAAACUCACAGUUUUUGAUAACUCGCUGCCACUUUCCAUUGUCUGGAGGCACAAUGGGAUGAUUUCAGUUUCAAGAAGGAACUUGAUCACUUCCGUAUCCUCAACCUACCAAAACAAAUGAACAAUGUUGCUAACACCAAUAUAAAAAUAACAAUGAUUCUGUGAUGUCUUAACAGUUUUCACUCAAAGGUUUUAGCAUGUUAAAAUGGUUGAUUAAUUCUCAGAUUAUAUACUUGCCAGGGGAAAAUGGUUUUAAUAGCUAGACAUACCUUGACAAGUGCACCAAAUAUUAUAAGAAUGAUGAAACUUGAUCCUCAUGAACAAAAAACAUUUGUUAGCAUCAUCGAUACUCAAAGAAGGUGCUGCAUGGAUCGAUGAUAAUAUCAGAGGUGGAUAUGGAGUGAUACAAAAGCUGAUUAGGGAAAUCAAAUUACAUGAAACCUAUCUUUCUAUGAUAAGGAAGAAGAUUUCAGAAGAAAAAAAAUUAGUUCUACUUUUACAUCAGUAUAUAUAUAUAAUGAAAUUUAACAAUCUUCAUUUAUCCAAGAAUAAUUACUCAAUGUUUAAUCAUAUCAAAUGUUGAAAUUUAAAACACACCAUGAGCAUAAUGUAAUUGGUGCGAGUUAAUCACUUAAUUGUGCAUGCGUUAUAGUGAUCAUAAAAGAAGAGACACUUUGAAAAUGUGUAUUGAAAUUUUUUAAAAAAAAAAUCAUUGAACAACCAAUUCAGUAGUUAAUAAUUUCUUCUAUUAUACAUUUUCUAAUGAUAAUACAGUUAUGUGAGUUGCAAAUACAUUUAUGUAUACAAGAUUGACAAAUAAAAAUUUAUACUAAUGAAAUAGACCUUUUGAGGUUCCAUGGGAUGUCCA